rnacentral:rRNA from 1 species
GUUAGGAAUCUUGCGCAAUGGACGAAAGUCUGACGCAGCGACGCCGCGUGCGGGAUGAAGGCCUUCGGGUUGUAAACCGCUUUCAGCAGGGACGAAAUUGACGGUACCUGCAGAAGAAGCCCCGGCCAACUACGUGCCAGCAGCCGCGGUAAUACGUAGGGGGCAAGCGUUGUCCGGAUUUAUUGGGCGUAAAGAGCUCGUAGGUGGUUCGGUAAGUCGGAUGUGAAAUCUCCAGGCUCAACCUGGAGGGGUCAUUCGAUACUGCCGUGACUAGAGGUCGGUAGGGGAGUGUGGAAUUCCUGGUGGAGCGGUGAAAUGCGCAGAUAUCAGGAGGAACACCCGUAGCGAAGGCGGCACUCUGGGCCGAUACUGACACUGAGGAGCGAAAGCGUGGGGAGCGAACAGGAUUAGAAACCCGGGUAGUCC